rnacentral:tRNA from 1 species
GGAUUAGCUCAGUUGGUAGAGCGCCUGAUUCGUAAUCAUGAGGUCACCGGUUCAAAUCCGGUAU